CAUUUAGCGAUCAAGGUUACCUUGUGUUGUAUCACAAACAGAUAUCGCAAUCGGCUCGCAGGGAGCUGUUAUGUUUAUUCAACACUUGCGCAUGAUGCGACAUGUUGUACCGGUGACGGAGUUAACAUAUGUCGGUUAAAGACGGCAGAAAAUGUAGAUUGUAAUAUGAUUUAGGUCGGAAGUAGUAGCACAACCGCCCGGGUCCCAUGCCCCUGAAAAGCCCCCCCCCCAAUAAAGGAAAAAAAAUAAACGAGCUUUUAUAAUUGGGAACCUGGGCCGCUCUAUAAAUAAAAUUAUAUUGCGCUGCCAGUUCUCAGCACCCCUGUGAAAAGCCCCUUAUUUACCUAUUAGUAAAUAAGGAGCGGAUAUCAGGCACAAUUUAUGCCCAUAACAUCUUGCCAAGCCACACCUCUACAGGAAUUCAGCAGUGAUAAACAUUGAAAAAUUAGCGUCAAUAAGCUUGAAUCAGUAAUAUUUUUAAGAGUUGGUAAAUUUCGUGCCAGCCACCGCGGUUAUAUGAGAAACUCAAAUUAAUAAAAACGGCCUAAAGCGUGAUUAAAUUAUAUUAAAAUAAAUAGAAAUAAAAAUUAACUCGACUGUUAUACGUAUAUGUUCAAAGGUGAAACCAAAAACGAAAGAUAUUCUAACAAAUAAAUUACUUGAACCCACGAAAGCUAAACAACAAGAUAGGAUUAGAUACCCUACUAUGCUUUUCCCUAAACCAGGGAACAACCCGCCUGAGUACUACGAGCCUCAGCUUAAAACUCAAAGGACUUGGCGGUGCUCUACACCCCCCUAGAGGAGCCUGUUCUAUAAUUGAUACCCCCCGCUAAACCUCACCACUUAUUGCCAAUACCGCUUAUAUACCGCCGUCGUCAGCUCACCAUUUAAAUGAAAAAUAGUAGGCAUAAUGAUAAACAUAAAAACGUCAGGUCAAGGUGUAGCGAUUUAGGUGGAAAGAAAUGGGCUACAUUUUCUAAACUAGAAAAUACGAAAAAUUUUAGAAAACUAAUUUAAGGUGUGGUUUUGCCGGAAAAAGGAAAAUGGCUUUUUCUUUUUAAUUGGGGACACCCUUAAAGGGCAGCC
rnacentral:rRNA from 1 species